rnacentral:ncRNA from 12 species
UGAGUACCAGAGAUCAGAGGGAGGAACAAGCCUCUCAGAC